GCCUUUGUGGUGUAGUGGUCAGCACACUCGGCGCGUAUUCGAGAGGUCCGUGGUUCGAAUCCCGGCGAGGGCA
rnacentral:tRNA from 1 species